rnacentral:rRNA from 1 species
UAGGAAUAUUCGUCAUGGGGGAAACCCUGAACGAGCAAUGCCGCGUGGAACGAUGACGGUCCUCUGGAUUGUAAGUUCUGUUGUUUGGGAAGAACGGCUCUAAUAGGAAAUGAUUAGAGAUUGACUGUACCAUUCAAGAAAGCCACGGCUAACUAC